rnacentral:rRNA from 1 species
CAACGCGAAGAACCUUACCAGGCCUUGACAUGCAGAGAACUUUCCAGAGAUGGAUUGUGCCUUCGGGAACUCUGACACAGGUGCUGCAUGGCUGUCGUCAGCUCGUGUCGUGAGAUGUUGGGUUAAGCCCGUAACGAGCGCAACCCUUGUCCUUAGUUACCAGCACGUUAUGGUGGGCACUCUAAGGAGACUGCCGGUGACAACCGGAGGAAGGUGGGGGAUGACGUCAAGUCAUCAUGGCCCUUACGGCCUGGGCUACACACGUGCUACAAUGGUCGGUACAAAGGGUUGCCAAGCCGCGAGGUGGAGCUAAUCCCAUAAAACCAAUCGUAGUCCGGAUCGCAGUCUGCAACUCGACUGCGUGAAGUCGGAAUCGCUAGUAAUCGUGAAUCAGAAUGUCACGGUGAAUACGUUCCCGGGCCUU